GUGCCUAACACAUGCAAGUCAACUUGACUGAAGGAGCAAUCUGACAGUAGAGUGGCGCAAGGGUGCGUAACGCGUAAGUAACUUGCCCCAAGGUAAGGAAUAACGUCGAGAAAUCGGCGCUAAUACCUCAUAAUGCAGCGGAUCCGCAUGGAUAUGUUGUUAAAGGUUUACCGCCUUGGGAUAGGCUUGCGUCUGAUUAGCUAGUUGGUGUGGUAACGGCACACCAAGGCUACGAUCAGUAACUGGUCUGAGAGGAUGAUCAGUCACACUGGAACUGAGACACGGUCCAGACUCCUACGGGAGGCAGCAGUGAGGAAUAUUGGGCAAUGCUCGAAAGAGUGACCCAGCAACGCCGCGUGGAGGAUGAAGGUAUUCUAUAUCGUAAACUCCUGUGAGAGCAGACGAAAGACAGAUUAUUAAUCUGGAUGACUGUAUGCUCAGAGGAAGCCCCGGCUAACUACGUG
rnacentral:rRNA from 1 species